AUUGAACGCUGGCGGCAGGCCUAACACAUGCAAGUCGAACGGUAACAGGAAGCAGCUUGCUGCUUUGCUGACGAGUGGCGGACGGGUGAGUAAUGUCUGGGAAACUGCCUGAUGGAGGGGGAUAACUACUGGAAACGGUAGCUCAUACCGCAUAACGUCGCAAGACCAAAGAGGGGGACCUUCGGGCCUCUUGCCAUCGGAUGUGCCCAGAUGGGGUUAGCUAGUUGGUGGGGUAACGGCUCACCUAGGCGACGAUCCCUAGCUGGUCUGAGAGGAUGACCAGCCACACUGGAACUGAGACACGGUCCAGACUCCUACGGGAGGCAGCAGUGGGGAAUAUUGCACAAUGGGCGCAAGCCUGAUGCAGCCAUGCCGCGUGUAUGAAGAAGGCCUUCGGGUUGUAAAGUACUUUCAGCGGGGAGGAAGGGAGUAAAGUUAAUACCUUUGCUCAUUGACGUUACCCGCAGAAGAAGCACCGGCUAACUCCGUG
rnacentral:rRNA from 1 species